rnacentral:rRNA from 1 species
UACGAAGGGUGCAAGCGUUAAUCGGAAUUACUGGGCGUAAAGCGUGCGUAGGCGGCGCGUUAAGCCUGAUGUGAAAGCCCUGGGCUCAACCUGGGAAUGGCAUCGGGGACUGGCGGGCUAGAGUUUGGGAGAGGGUGGUGGAAUUCCCGGUGUAGCGGUGAAAUGCGUAGAGAUCGGGAGGAACAUCUGUGGCGAAGGCGGCCACCUGGCCUAAAACUGACGCUGAGGCACGAAAGCGUGGGGAGCAAAC